rnacentral:tRNA from 1 species
GGGCCUGUAGCUCAGCCUGGUUAGAGCGUUCGACUGAUAAUCGAAAGGUCCUGGGUUCAAAUCCCAGCAGGCCCA